GCAUGACUUAUUGUUUCAUCUAAAUAAUACGAGUUAGAGCUUGGUGGAGAAAAUAAAGCUUAAAAUGGCAAUUCAACCGCUCAAAAGUUGCUUUAAAUCAGAGCCUACUUAUAAAUUUUGAAGAAAAAAUGCAAAAAAAAAAAAAACUAUAGACUAAAAACCAAGUUCAGUGAGGAGAUUUGUUUGAGCAGAUUGACAUAUUAUCCAUCAUUUAUUUUUUCUUCUAAAACUCUACCAUCAAACACUAGUCUUACCUUCAUCAUUCCCAAAUCCAACAUUCCUUUCAUAUAAAAAAUAUGAUGCAAUAAAUUAACAAAGAUGCAGCAAGUCAAACACCAGGAAACAUAAAAAAGGAUUCAAAUUUUCAAGGUUAUCUCCUCAUGUUGUUC
rnacentral:lncRNA from 1 species